GACGAACGCUGGCGGCGUGCCUAAUACAUGCAAGUUGAGCGCUGAAGGUUGGUACUUGUACCAACUGGAUGAGCAGCGCACGGGUGAGUAACGCGUGGGGAAUCUGCCUUUGAGCGGGGGACAACAUUUGGAAACGAAUGCUAAUACCGCAUAAAAACUUUAAACACAAGUUUUAAGUUUGAAAGAUGCAAUUGCAUCACUCAAAGAUGAUCCCGCGUUGUAUUAGCUAGUUGGUGAGGUAAAGGCUCACCAAGGCGAUGAUACAUAGCCGACCUGAGAGGGUGAUCGGCCACAUUGGGACUGAGACACGGCCCAAACGCCUACGGGGGGCAGCAGUAGGGAAUCGUCGGCAAUGGACGAAAGUCUGACCGAGCAACGCCGCGGGAGUGAAGAAGGUUGUCGGAUCGUAAAACUCUGUUGGUAGGGAAGAACGUUGGUGAGAGUGGAAAGCUCAUCAAGUGACGGUAACUACGCAGAAAGGGACGGCUAACUACGUG
rnacentral:rRNA from 1 species